rnacentral:rRNA from 1 species
GAGCGAACCCGGAGAACUGAAACAUCUAAGUACCCGGAGGAAAAGAAAUCAACCGAGAUUCCCUGAGUAGCGGCGAGCGAAAGGGGAGCAGCCUGCAAGUAAUAGCAGAAGUGUUAGUGGAACAGUCUGGAAAGUCUGGCAAUAAAGGGUGAUAGCCCCGUACACGAAAACUCAUCUGUGGUACUAAGCUUGCGAAAAGUAGGUCGGGACACGUGUUAUCUUGACUGAACAUGGGGGGACCAUCCUCCAAGGCUAAAUACUACCAACUGACCGAUAGUGAACUAGUACCGUGAGGGAAAGGUUAAAAGAACCCCGGAGAGGGGAGUGAAAUAGAUCCUGAAACCGUAUGCGUACAAGCAGUAGGAGCAGACUUGUUCUGUGACUGCGUACCUUUUGUAUAAUGGGUCAGCGACUUAUUUUCAGUGGCAAGGUUAACCGUAUAGGGGAGCCGUAGGGAAACCGAGUCUUAAUAGGGCGUCUUAGUCGCUGGGAAUAGACCCGAAACCGGGCGAUCUAUCCAUGGCCAGGUUGAAGGUUGAGUAACAUCAACUGGAGGACCGAACCCACUAAUGUUGAAAAAUUAGGGGAUGAGCUGUGGAUCGGAGUGAAAGGCUAAUCAAGCCCGGAGAUAGCUGGUUCUCCUCGAAAGCUAUUUAGGUAGCGCCUCAUGUCUCACCACUGGGGGUAGAGCACUGUUUCGGCUAGGGGGUCAUACCGACUUACCAACCCGAUGCAAACUCCGAAUACCAGUGAGUGCAAUCAUGGGAGACACACGGCGGGUGCUAACGUCCGUCGUGGAGAGGGAAACAACCCAGACCGCCAGCUAAGGUCCCAAAUAUCAGUUAAGUGGGAAACGAUGUGGGAAGGCUCAGACAGCUAGGAGGUUGGCUUAGAAGCAGCCAUCCUUUAAAGAAAGCGUAAUAGCUCACUAGUCGAGUCGGCCUGCGCGGAAGAUUUAACGGGGCUAAACUGAUAACCGAAGCUGCGGACGCAUACUUGUAUGCGUGGUAGAGGAGCGUUCUGUAAGCCGUUGAAGGUGCAUUGUAAGGUGUGCUGGAGGUAUCAGAAGUGCGAAUGCUGACGUGAGUAACGAUAAAGCGGGUGAAAAACCCGCUCGCCGGAAGAUCAAGGUUUCCUGUCCAACGCUAAUCGGGACAGGGUUAGUCGGUACCUAAGGCGAGGCCGAAAGGCGUAGUCGAUGGAAAACAGGUUAAUAUUCCUGUACCGCUAUAUACUGCGAUGGGGGGACGGAGAAGGCUAGGUGAUCAGGGCGUUGGUUGUCCCUGUACAAGCUUGUAGGGAGAUCUCUUAGGUAAAUCCGGGAGAUCAUUAUCCUGAGGAGUGAUGUCGAGCUCAAUUGCGAGCGAAGUCAUUGAUGCCAUGCUUCCAAGAAAAGCCUCUAAGCUUCAGGUAUAUAGAGACCGUACUCUAAACCGACACAGGUGAUCAGGUAGAGAAUACCAAGGCGCUUGAGAGAACUAUGGUGAAGGAACUAGGCAAAAUGGUGCCGUAACUUCGGGAGAAGGCACGCCGAUUUUGGUGAUGGGAUUUACUCCCUAAGCUGAGGUUGGCCGCAGAGACCAGGCCCCUGCGACUGUUUAUCUAAAACACAGCACUCUGCAAACUCGUAAGAGGAAGUAUAGGGUGUGACGCCUGCCCGGUGCCGGAAGGUUAAUUGAUGGGGUUAGCUUCGGCGAAGCUCUUGAUCGAAGCCCCGGUAAACGGCGGCCGUAACUAUAACGGUCCUAAGGUAGCGAAAUUCCUUGUCGGGUAAGUUCCGACCUGCACGAAUGGCGUAACGACGGGGGCGCUGUCUCCACCAUAGACUCAGUGAAAUCGAAAUCGCGGUGAAGAUGCCGUGUUCCCGCGGCUAGACGGAAAGACCCCGUGAACCUUUACUAUAGCUUGGCACUGAACUUUGAACCUAUCUGUGU